GGGGUUGUGGCUCAGUGGUAGAGCGCUUGCCUUGCAGGUGUGAGGCUCAGGGUUCGAUUCUCAGCACCA
rnacentral:tRNA from 1 species